GGCCGAGCUGUAGCUCAGUUGGUUAGAGCGCUGCACCGGAAUCGCAGGGCCGUAGGUUCAAUUCCUACCAGAGGCCC
rnacentral:tRNA from 1 species